rnacentral:misc_RNA from 1 species
AAAGUCGUAACAAGGUCUCCGUAGGUGAACCUGCGGAGGGAUCAUUACCGAGUGAGGGCCCUCUGGGCUCGACCUCCAACCCCAUGUUAAUCGACCCUGUUGCCUCGGGGGCGACCCGGCCUCGCCGCCGGGGCCCCCGACGGACCCCUCAACGCUGCAUCUUUGCGUCCGAGUCAAUAUUUGAAUCAAUCAAAACUUUCAACAACGGAUCUCUUGGUUCUG